rnacentral:rRNA from 1 species
CCUACGGGAGGCAGCAGUGGGGAAUAUUGGACAAUGGGCGAAAGCCUGAUCCAGCCAUGCCGCGUGUGUGAAGAAGGCCUUCGGGUUGUAAAGCACUUUCAGUGGGGAAGAAAGCCUUGGGGCUAAUACCCUCGAGGAAGGACAUCACCCACAGAAGAAGCACCGGCUAACUCCGUGCCAGCAGCCGCGGUAAUACGGAGGGUGCGAGCGUUAAUCGGAAUUACUGGGCGUAAAGCGCGCGUAGGCGGUCUGAUAAGCCGGUUGUGAAAGCCCCGGGCUCAACCUGGGAACGGCAUCCGGAACUGUCAGGCUAGAGUGCAGGAGAGGAAGGUAGAAUUCCCGGUGUAGCGGUGAAAUGCGUAGAGAUCGGGAGGAAUACCAGUGGCGAAGGCGGCCUUCUGGACUGACACUGACGCUGAGGUGCGAAAGCGUGGGUAGCAAACAGGAUUAAUACCCCGGUAGUC